AUGGACUCUCAUCCUGAAAUGACAACAUUGGAACUGCUCGCAUACCUGGUGGCCCAAACCUCUCAAGAUGCCAUGGUAUCUUCCCUUUUAAUCCUGUGGUCUGCACAAGAGGAAAUGCUUGGCCAUCUAGUAACCUUUUCCUUCUAUUCUUCUUCUAAGACUUGAAGAAAGGAACCAUCAGGGGUCUCUUCUAUAAUCCCAGCUAGUUGGGAGGUG